AUACGUAGGUGGCGAGCGUUGUCCGGAAUUACUGGGCGUAAAGGAUGCGUAGGUGGAUAUUUAAGUGGGAUGUGAAAUCCCCGGGCUCAACCCGGGAACUGCAUUCCAAACUGGGUAUCUAGAGUGCAGGAGAGGAAAGCGGAAUUCCUAGUGUAGCGGUGAAAUGCGUAGAUAUUAGGAGGAACACCAGUGGCGAAGGCGGCUUUCUGGACGGUAACUGACACUGAGGCAUGAAAGCGUGGGUAGCAAACAGGAUUAGAUACCCUGGUAGUCCACGCCGUAAACGAUGGGUACUAGGUGUAGGAGGUAUCGACCCCUUCUGUGCCGUCGUUAACACAAUAAGUACCCCGCCUGGGGAGUACGGUCGCAAGACUAAAACUCAAAGGAAUGGACGGGG
rnacentral:rRNA from 1 species